rnacentral:siRNA from 1 species
CCAAUUGGUCUUCUCACUGCUCUA